CCUACGGGAGGCAGCAGUGAGGAAUAUUGGUCAAUGGGCUUACGCCUGAACCAGCCAAGUCGCGUGAGGGCAGACUGCCCUAUGGGUUGUAAACCUCUUUUGUCAGGGAGCAACGCCGGCUACGUGUAGCCGGACUGAGAGUACCUGACGAAAAAGCAUCGGCUAACUCCGUUCCAGCAGCCGCGGUAAUACGGAGGAUGCGAGCGUUAUCCGGAUUUAUUGGGGUUAACGGUCGUGUUGGCGGAAUCCCAAGUCAGCGGUAAAAGCGCGGGGCUCAACCUCGCUCCGCCGUUGAAACUGGCGUUCUUGAGUGGGCGAGAAGUAUGCGGAAUACGUAGUGUAGCGGUGAAAUGCAUAGAUAUCACGCAGAACUCCGAUUGCGAAGGCAGCAUACCGGCGCCCAACUGACGCUGAGGCACGAAAGCGUGGGUAUCGAACAGGAUUAGAUACCCCUGUAGUC
rnacentral:rRNA from 1 species